GUCGUCGUGACUAUCCCUCAAGGUCGAGGAUGAUGGUCUACGUUCUGUUGUUUUUAUGGACUCUCAGGUGGCUUAUGAGUCCAAUCCUGGCUUGGAAAGUUCUUCGACAUUCAGGGCAGGGUUGAAGAGCCGUUGCUGCGGGCGUCCAGAUGGUAAG